UACAGAGGUCUCAAGCGUUGUUCGGAUUCAUUGGGCGUAAAGGGUGCGCAGGCGGCGCGGUAAGUCGGGUGUGAAAUCUCGGAGCUUAACUCCGAAACUGCAUUCGAUACUGCCGUGCUUGGGGACUGGAGAGGAGACUGGAAUUUACGGUGUAGCGGUGAAAUGCGUAGAUAUCGUAAGGAAGACCAGUGGCGAAGGCGGGUCUCUGGACAGUUCCUGACGCUGAGGCACGAAGGUCAGGGGAGCAAACGGG
rnacentral:rRNA from 1 species